rnacentral:rRNA from 1 species
UACAGAGAGUGCGAGCGUUAAUCGGAAUUACUGGGCGUAAAGCGCACGUAGGUGGCUGUUUAAGUCGGAUGUGAAAGCCCUGGGCUUAACCUAGGAAUUGCAUUCGAUACUGGGCGUCUAGAAUAUAGUAGAGGGAGGUGGAAUUUCCGGUGUAGCGGUGAAAUGCGUAGAUAUCGGAAGGAACAUCAGUGGCGAAAGCGGCCUCCUGGACUAAUAUUGACACUUAGGUGCGAAAGCGUGGGGAGCAAACAGG